GUGCAGUAGAUACAGUCAUACAGAGUCUCUCUCUGUUCUAGCCGGAAAACUGGUCUGGUCUGUUCGCAUUGGACAAUGGAGGAAGCCCAAGUUGUUGUAACACAAACUCGUUAAGAAGAAACCUGAGAGAAGUAAUACUCGUUAAUUGUGAUCUAUCUGCAUUUCCUUGCUGUGUAUUGACAACAGUCGGAUAUAUCUAGACUUGAAGCCAAAGCAUAACUCCAGCAGAAGGAUAGGGAAAUUGCAGCUCAAGUUUCAGAUGCAUAUGGAGAGGAUAACAUGGAACAUGUCUUUUUCAUAUAUUCAAAGUGAACUAGUGGCUGUUCAUUGGAUUGUUUCAUGGCAAAGUGAGCAGAAGAAAGGUUUGGAUGGGUUACAUGUACAUGUAAAGUUUGUCUUUGUUCUUUGUAAUGUUAGUUUUAUUUUAUUUAAGACUUGGUGACACUUGAUGUUAUGUAAGA